rnacentral:rRNA from 1 species
UACGGGGGGUGCAAGCGUUAAUCGGAAUUACUGGGCGUAAAGGGUGCGUAGGCGGUUUAAUAAGUUAAGUGUAAAAGUUCUGGGCUUAACCUGGGGUAGUCACUUAAGACUGUUAGACUGGAGUAUAGGAGAGGGUAGUGGAAUUUCCGGUGUAGCGGUGAAAUGCGUAGAGAUCGGAAGGAACAUCGGUGGCGAAGGCGGCUACCUGGCCUGAUACUGACGCUGAGGCACGAAAGCGUGGGGAGCGUACAGG